rnacentral:misc_RNA from 1 species
UGCAUUUCUUACAUUCUACCCUACGUGUCAAUAACAUAGCCCUUCGAUGGCAUGAAGAUCAGACGGCCAGAAAAUCGUUUCAACUAACACACCCAGCUUCCCACCUAUCACUCUUUUUUAUGCGUACCGUACUCUCUAUUUAAAGACUUCAACAAGCGUGACAAUCGAAGAAAAGGAAAAAUAAUUAAAACUUUCCCUUAAAAAGAGUUUCUUAGGAACCAACCAGCCUGCAGCCAGCUGACAUCUUUCUUGCCCCUGUUGUCUCAUCUCUCCACCAGGAUUUUCCCCGCUAGUUUUCUUGUCCCAAAUGGAAGUUUCCGGCGGAGAGAUAAAUGGAGAUCAUAUAUAUAGCAAUGGGUUAUGCGUAAAGGACCCAUUGAAGUGGGGUCUAGCGGCGGAGGCAUUGAAGGGUAGCCAUGUAGAGGAGGUGAAGAAAAUGGUUAAGGAAUAUAGGAAGGCGGUGGUUCGCCUUGGGGGUGAGACGCUAACCGUAGGACAGGUAGCUGCGGUGGCUACUAGAGGUGGCAAUGGAGUAACGGUGGAGUUAUGUGAGGCGGCCAGGAUUGGUGUGAAGGCAAGCAGUGAUUGGGUAAUGGAGAGUAUGAAUAAGGGGACAGAUAGUUAUGGGGUUAGUACAGGGUUCGGGGCCACUUCCCAUAGGAGAACCAAGCAAGGAGCUGCCCUGCAGCAGGAGCUUAUCAGGUCAUUUUAUUUUAAUUUUUAAUUUUCAUGUCUUAUUUUGGAGUUUUAUUUUUCUUUAUUUCUGGGUUUUAAGGAAGCGAAGGUUUUGUUUGAGGUAGGUUUUGGGUCACAGGAUUGGGCCUGUGGCUUGUAUAUAAAAGUUCAGUUUUAUUUUUUUCUUUUUGGUGGGUAGUUAGGCCUAUCCUGCAUUAAAUUUUGGGACCAUAUGAUGUGAAAGUGAUACUGAUAUAGAUAGAUAGGUAGAUGGUAGGCAUGAAGCAGCCAAUGGGUAAGGUAACAGUAGGAAGAGAUUUUCCCUCUGAAAUUAUUUGAAGUUAAAGCCUUAAUAAAUGAGUAAUUUACUUAAAAGGGGGUCAUGAAAAUAUUUGGAGGACCCAUUAUAUUCACAAUGACACCAAAGUUUUAGAUGUAUUUGUGGAUGUAAUAUUUAAUAUAAAAAAAAUUAUCUAGACUUUAACAUCAUACAUUUAAAACUCAUAAAUUUAAAAUAUAAAUGUAUUGAUUUGCUCCUUUACACUAUUUUAGCUUAGUCCCUGAUCUUAAACAAAUUUUGAUGAAUUAGCCCCUUUGGAUUAUGUGUCAGCUUGUCUUUAACAUGUAUCACUAAACUAAUCUCUUGUGUGUAUACUGUCUGCUGCUUCAGGUUCUUGAAUGCUGGAAUCUUUGGCAAAGGAGUAGAAUCAGGCCACAUAUUGCCACAUACAGCAACAAGGGCUGCUAUGCUUGUGAGGAUCAAUACUCUUCUCCAUGGCUACUCAGGCAUCAGGUUUGAGAUCCUAGAGGCCGUUACAAAGCUAAUUAAUCACAACGUCACUCCAUGCUUGCCUCUGCGCGGCUCAAUAACUGCCUCGGGUGAUUUAGUACCCUUUUCGUACAUUGCCGGACUCCUAACAGGCAGACCGAAUUCCACUGCGGUGGGGCCUAAAGGAGAAUCACUUGAUGCCGGAGAAGCCUUUCGCCUCGCUGGUAUUGGUGGCGGAUUUUUUCAGUUGCAGCCUAAGGAGGGUCUUGCAAUUGUUAAUGGCACUGGAGUUGGUGCUGGCUUGGCAUCUAUAGUACUUUUUGAUGCUAAUAUAUUGACUCUUUUAUCAGAAGUUUUGUCUGCAAUUUUCGCUGAAGUUAUGCAAGGAAAACCUGAGUUUACAGAUCAUUUGACACACAAAUUAAAGCAUCAUCCUGGACAGAUUGAAGCUGCAGCUAUUAUGGAACAUAUUUUGGAUGGUAGUUCCUUUGUUAAAGCAGCUCAGAAGAUACAUGAAACUGAUCCCCUGCAAAAGCCUAAACAAGACCGAUAUGCUCUUAGAACAUCUCCUCAGUGGCUAGGCCCUCAGAUUGAAGUGAUCAGAACAGCAACAAAAAUGAUAGAACGAGAGAUCAACUCUGUGAAUGAUAAUCCAUUGAUUGAUGUGUCAAGGAAUAAGGCUUUACAUGGAGGGAAUUUCCAGGGGACGCCAAUUGGUGUUUCCAUGGAUAACACUCGUUUAGCCAUUGCUUCAAUUGGGAAACUCAUGUUUGCACAAUUCUCUGAGCUUGUUAAUGACUUUUACAACAAUGGUUUGCCUUCAAAUCUCACAGGUGGCCGCAAUCCAAGCUUGGAUUAUGGGUUCAAAGGAGCUGAAAUUGCCAUGGCAUCUUACUGCUCAGAGCUUCAAUUCCUUGCAAAUCCUGUCACCAACCAUGUCCAAAGUGCCGAGCAACACAACCAGGAUGUCAACUCAUUAGGGUUAAUUUCUUCAAGGAAAACAGCUGAAGCUGUUGACAUAUUGAAGCUCAUGUCUUCCACUUACUUGGUUGCUCUGUGCCAAGCCAUUGAUUUGAGGCACUUGGAGGAGAACUUGAAGAACACUGUCAAGAACACAGUAAGUCAAGUUGCAAAGAGAGUCCUCACAAUGGGCUUCAACGGCGAGCUUCACCCAUCAAGAUUCUGCGAAAAGGACCUUCUCAAAGUGGUCGACAGGGAACACGUCUUUGCCUACAUUGAUGAUCCUUGCAGUGCAACCUAUCCACUAAUGCAAAAGCUAAGGCAAGUACUAGUAGACCAUGCCAUAACGAAUGGUGAGAAGGAGAAGAAUUUGAGCACCUCCAUUUUCCAGAAAAUUGGAGCAUUUGAAGAGGAACUGAAGGCCCUUCUUCCUAAAGAAGUGGAAAGUUCCAGGGCUGAAUAUGGCAAUGGUAAUCCAGCUAUUCCUAACAGGAUCAAACAAUGCAGGUCCUACCCACUAUAUAAGUUUGUGAGGGAAGAAUUGUGUACAAGUUUGCUAACCGGCGAGAAGGUUCGAUCGCCUGGAGAAGAAUUUGAUAAGGUUUUCUCAGCAAUGUGUGCAGGGAAGCUCAUUGACCCCAUGUUAGAAUGCCUCAAGGAGUGGAAUGGUGCUCCUCUUCCUAUCAGCUAAGAUUUUUUUCUUUUUGUUUCCUUCACAUAAAGGUUAUAUAUGUCCUGUUAAUUUGUAACUUCAAAAUUGUAAUAUCAAAGUGUGUGUGUUUAUGAUGGUUUUUUUUUCUUUAAUCCUUGAGAGAAUCUUGAUUUCUUUGGACUUUGAAUUUCAGUAAAAAUGUAUAACAAGAUAUGCAAUCAAGAUUUACUCAUGCGUUUCUUUCCUAAAUGCCUCUUGUACUAAUGUUCUUCUAUCAAAUAUUUCUCUAAAUGAAUUGGAAAUUCG